rnacentral:rRNA from 1 species
CGGACGGGUGAGUAACGCGUGGGUAACCUACCCUGUACAGGGGGAUAACAGUCAGAAAUGACUGCUAAUACCGCAUAAGACCACAGCACCGCAUGGUGCAGGGGCAAAAACUCCGGUGGUACAGGAUGGACCCGCGUCUGAUUAGCUGGUUGGUGAGGUAACGGCUCACCAAGGCGACGAUCAGUAGCCGGCUUGAGAGAGUGAACGGCCACAUUGGGACUGAGACACGGCCCAA